rnacentral:rRNA from 1 species
AUUGAACGCUGGCGGCAGGCCUAACACAUGCAAGUCGAACGAGUGGCGGACGGGUGAGUAAUUUCUGGGAAACUGCCUGAUGGAGGGGGAUAACUACUGGAACCGGUAGCUAAUACCGCAUACCAUCGGAUGUGCCCAGAUGGGAUUAGCUAGUAGGUGGGGUAAAGGCUCACCUAGGCGACAAUCCCUAACUGGUCUGAGAGGAUGACAAGCAACAUCGGAAGUGAGAAACGUUCCAGACUACGACGGUAGGCAGCAGGGGGUAAUAUUGCACAAGGGGCGCAAGCCUGAUGCAGCGAUGCCGCGUGUAUGAAGAAGGCCUUCGGGUUGUAAAGUACUUUCAGCGGGGAGGGGUUACCCGCAGAAGAAGCACCGGCUAACUCCGUGCCAGCAGCCGCGGUAAUUC